rnacentral:lncRNA from 1 species
CUGGCGAGGAGCUAAGCACGUUCAGAGGGCUGACAAUUAAGUUUCCGCAAUACGUAUACAUUUAUUUAAACGGGAACGUCGGAAUCUCUGGAAACGCAGUUUUAAAAUGUAAACCUAUAGGGGCGUUUGCUUGCUUGCUUGCUUGCUUAAGGCCUGCCUCCGUCUCCGCACAGCGUCGCUUUCAGAGCGCCUGGGAGACGGAUGAUGUAGGUCCUACUUCCCGGGUCCGAACUGGCGCCCAGAUGUUUGAGGGAGUCGAUGCCUCAGGAAGAGAUGGAGUUGGGAGGCCGGCGAAGGAGGCUGAGGACAGUCUAGCUCUGCUGCCUGCCUGCCUACCUUGGACUCCGUAUCCGGGAGCUGGGUGGCCUUCCUUCAAAGGGCAGCGCAGCCCAGAAGGAUUUCUGUCAUCACCCCAGCCACCCUGCAACUCUGGUAAGAGAAUUUGCCUGUGACCUGGGAAUUCUACCUAGAAUUGGAGCUGAACUAUCAGCGGGGAUGAUAAAAUACAUUUUCUGUGCAUUCUUUAAAAGGUUUGGAUUAGCUCUUCCUUCCUCCCUUCCUUCCUUUUAUUUUGUCAUGCCCGCAGCAUGUAGAAGUUCUGGGCCAGGGAUCAAACCCAGGCGGCAGCAGUGACCUGAGCCACUGCAGUGACAAGGCCAGAUCCUUAACCUGCUGCACCAAAAGGGAACUCGGUGGAUUAACUUCAAUGAAGAAAAUCAUCUGCAUCCCAACUGCACAGAGAUUUGGGGUUUUUUACUCCUGUCUCUUUCCUGCAUAUUUUUACCUGUGUCUUAAUUCCCCGGUCACUGAACAGUUGAGUACCUUACCCAGGCCAGACCCCGGUGCCAGACGCUGAAGCAAGCAGGGAAAUGACCUGAAGCCUGCCCUUGAGAGUAUCAAACACACAUAUUGCCCAGGGCCCCGGCCAGGCAGGCCCAGAGCCCAGGAAAGCCUGCAGGAGGAAGAGACCCUCAAAGCCUCCCACAGCCAGAUUGUGUGGUCAAGGGUCCUUCGGGGCUGUGAUGGUCCCUUGCCUUCACAGUGAAAGUGUUUGUGUAAAAAUAACUCCUGGGUUCCUUGCAGGGUUUUUCUGGACAUCUGUGCCACAAUUUCUUUCUGCCUUCCAGGGAUUCCUGGUGAGUGUCAGCUUUGCUAGAAUUUCACUGGUGAGUUGCAGGGACUCGCCAUGAAUAUCUGCCUCCCAAGGUAGAGGUUAGAGAAUAGAGAUGCAGGUACACUCUAAAAGGAAGAAAUAAACUUUAGAAAUCCUGUGCCCUAUCA